AAAGAAGAACACAAAUAUUCCCUGAUCUACUGAGUAUCUACAGCACAUUUUUCAAAUUUCCAGCAUCUGCAGCUUUUGGCUUCUCCAACAGGGUGGCUGGGGCCCUAUCAAGAUUUUUAAUCUGCAGUAGCACUCAAAAACUGCAAUUCUACACGACAGCAUGUACCCGCUCUUUGAGCUCACCAAUCGGCCACGUUUCAGUACGUCCAGGGUUGGCCUGAAGUCAGGCAACUUUAGGGCCUGUGCAGCCCUGUGGACACAAAUUCUCAUUGGUGUCGCAUACUGAAAUGUAGCGGGAGCCAGAACAUCAAAGACAGCAAGAGUAGCUGUUGGAGGGCUCUGCACUCAGUAAUUGAUCUGC